GACGAACGCUGGCGGCGUGCUUAACACAUGCAAGUCGAACGGAAAGGCCCUGCUUUUGUGGGGUGCUCGAGUGGCGAACGGGUGAGUAACACGUGAGUAACCUGCCCUUGACUUUGGGAUAACUUCAGGAAACUGGGGCUAAUACCGGAUAGGAGCUCCUGCUGCAUGGUGGGGGUUGGAAAGUUUCGGCGGUUGGGGAUGGACUCGCGGCUUAUCAGCUUGUUGGUGGGGUAGUGGCUUACCAAGGCUUUGACGGGUAGCCGGCCUGAGAGGGUGACCGGCCACAUUGGGACUGAGAUACGGCCCAGACUCCUACGGGAGGCAGCAGUGGGGAGUAUUGCACAAUGGGCGGAAGCCUGAUGCAGCAACGCCGCGUGCGGGAUGACGGCCUUCGGGUUGUAAACCGCUUCCGCCUGUGACGAAGCGUGAGUGACGGUAAUGGGUAAAGAAGCACCGGCUAACUACGUG
rnacentral:rRNA from 1 species